rnacentral:misc_RNA from 1 species
GGAAUGAUGCAUCAUCCUACUAAAGGAGCUGAAAUAAUAUAAUUGUCACGCUAAAUAUUCUUCAGCAAGUUCAAAAAGCAACCAAAAACAAUAAACACAACUCAUGAAUAAAACUUCACAUCAUCAACCCAAAUUCAGCUUCAGCUAUAAGUUUACCAGUACAACAAUACAUCAGUAAUAUAUAUCGCCCACAGCUAACACUCGUUCAUGCCUGUAGUAUCAGUAUCUUGAUCGUCUCCUACGAGGUGAACGAGACCGGGAAAUGGAACGAGAAAGAGAGAGUGAACUGGAGUGAGAAUGCGAAGGCGAAUGUGAGCAAGAGUGAGUGCGCGACCGUGAGCCAGACCUUGAACGUGAGCGAUAUCUACGAGAACUCCUUUCUCUGCUGGGACUCCGGCUACGUCGAUGCCUUCGAGGGGAACGGCUGUAACUUCUACUACGGCUUCGGCGACGAUACCGGCUUACCCGGCUUGUCUCUGCCAGCUUUUCAAGCCUCUGUUUCUCUUGUUCUCUUUUCUUGGCAGUUUCAAUAGCUGUAUCUUUCUUGAUUUGUUUGUUCAAUUGUUUGCUCAUAAUCCGCUUAAGUCUCUCCUGAGGUGUUUCCUUCUUUUCACCCUGCUGUUUAGAGAGACUUGAACUACUAGUUGUCUUGUUCAACUUAGAUAGUGCUGAAGACGCACUUGUUGGUGUUUUCAACAUUUGGCCACUCUUAUCCUUAUCAAUAGAUACCCCAGAUGCAGGAUCUACAUGGAGGGCCUCAAGAAUACGACCAGUUGAUGGCCUGCAGAAAAGUGAGAUUUUAAACAAGAAAUGUUUCAUGUUAUCAUGCAAACUGAACAGUGAAAAUGGAGACUUGCUCCCUCUUCCCCUUGACAGUUAUUCGAACAGGUGUAAAUGGUGAUAUAUUCUAAACCACAUUAAGUUCCUCAGCUAACAAAUGGAUGAAAAGCUGCAGCAGAGAAAAGACUGUCCAAUCUAGCUUUGCAAGAAUAAAAGGUCAAGUGCUCCGACCGGCUUAAUGGAUCAGUUCGAGGUGGAGGAGAUGGUGGUGGAGAAUAUCCUUCAACUUUAGGCUUGUUCUCAUCAUCUGCGCCACCAAAUUCAGUAAUAUACUCUAUCUUCGGAGUUCUUUCUUUGCCUUGGUAAAUAUCAUCAGAUUUGCCUCCACGUUCGUAGCGCCUUGAAUGGGGAGGGGAGUAUGAGAGAGACCUUGACCUGGAUCUUCUGGAACGUGAAUAAGCUUCAUAUGUCGGACUUCGACGAGAUUCACGAUAGGGAUCAUGAUGAAGAACUCUACUACCGGUAAUACGGGCAGCUUCUCUUUCCCUCUCCCUUUCUAGUUGAGAAGCUUUUCUUCUCUCUUUGCGACUUAGCUUCCUUAUUGCAGGAUCUCCCUUAAUAACUUCUCUUUGCCUCCUUUCUUCCUCCUUGGCCUUUUUGUCCGUGUAGACAAGCCAUCCAUACCGUUUCACACCAUAAUCCUUGGCAAUUGACUCCAUCACUUCAUCGUUGCUAUCAUCGCUGUUAAAAUCUUCUUCUUCCUCAUCAUCAUCGUCAUCUUCAUCUUCUUCUUCACCAUCCGAAAAGUGAGCUUCAUCUUUCCCCUCUCCAUCAUAUGAGAAACCCACUUGUGAAUACGACCCCUUGCUCACUGGAGGCUGAGAAAGCUGAGGUCUGUCAGAGCCGAGCAGUGCAGUGGUUUUAGCCUCCAUCUCCUGAUUAACAUGUUGCAUACCCUCUUCAUCUUUAACGACAUCCUCUACGCCGAUGCUUAAUUAAAUCCCGAUAACGCUGAAAAU